AGCAGCCGCGGUAAUUCCAGCUCCAAUAGCGUAUAUUAAAGUUGUUGCAGUUAAAAAGCUCGUGGUUGAAUUUCGGGAUCAUCAGGUUGGUCGUGCCUCUGGUAUGUACUGAUUUCGAUGGUUCCUCCUUCUUGAAGAACCGUAAUGCCAUUAAUUUGGUGUUGCGGGGAAACAGGACUGUUACUUUGAAAAAAUUAGAGUGUUUAAAGCAGGCAAUCGCUUGAAUACAUUAGCAUGGAAUAAUGAAAUAGGACGUUCGAUCCUAUUUUGUUGGUUUCUAGGAUUGACGUAAUGAUUAAUAGGGAUAGUUGGGGGCAUUAGUAUUCAAUUGUCAGAGGUGAAAUUCUUGGAUUUAU
rnacentral:rRNA from 1 species